rnacentral:rRNA from 1 species
CUGCUGCCUUCCGUAGGAGUCUGGUCCGUGUCUCAGUACCAGUGUGGGGGACCUUCCUCUCAGAACCCCUACGCAUCGUCGCCUUGGUGGGCCGUUACCCCGCCAACUAGCUAAUGCGACGCAUGACCAUCCGUAGCCGGAAUCGCUUCCUUUAAACCCGAGGAGAUGCCUCCUCGGGUUGUUACGCGGUAUUAGACGGAAUUUCUUCCGCUUAUCCCCCUGCUACGGGCAGGUUUCAUACGUGUUACUCACCCGUGCGCCGGUCGCCGGCGG